CCGCGUUUUCCGUUUGCGCCGACACCCGGACUGCUGCUGCCGCGUGUGCAACAGAAAACUACUGUUUGCCCCUAACGGUUGUUUGGCCGCUGAUAAUUCGCCUGUUCGACGUGCCCGAAACAACAAUAGCGGACGAAUGAAUCAUUGUUUUCCCCGCGAGAAUUUUACGCGACGGUAUAGCCGCGGUUUCACCGAGAAUCGUAAUUUUCCUUCGAAACCGAUGACGUAACUUUAACGCGCGGGUGUAUGUUAAAAAAACGGUACGCGCUAUUUUAUCUUUAAUCGUUUCAGACGCCUAUUUAUCAAUACUCGCCGUCACGUGUGCACAUAAAGUUUAGAACGCCCUGUAUUUGUAUAUAAUUUACCAUCAUUAUUAAUCGCUUGAACGUCUUUUA